CGGUGGUGGCCGAGGCACUGUCGGCGGUGAGCCAUGGCCGCAUCUCGGUGCGCCUUCCGGGAUCACGGCUGUUCGGUCCGGCCGCCGCCGU
rnacentral:tRNA from 1 species